rnacentral:tRNA from 3 species
AGUUUUAUAUUCAAAUAAUGAUUUUAAAUUGCAAAUUUAAAGGUAGAGAUAACUCUUAAAACUU